AUGGAGGUUAUGCAGAAGGCGAUGGAGAAGGAGAAUAUUGAAGCAGGUGAAGAUUGGGAGAAGAAGAAGAGAGAAUUUUUCUGUGAUUUUCCUGUGAAUUCAAGAAUGAAUCGUCAAAGAUGGCGUCUUGGAGCAAGAUUCAUCAAGCAUUUUUGGGACUUAUUUGGCCCGAUUUUGACAAUUGUAUGCAGGGCUGGUUUGGUCUAA